rnacentral:rRNA from 1 species
GAUGAACGCUGGCGGCGUGCCUAAUACAUGCAAGUCGAGCGAACAGACGAGGAGCUUGCUCCUCUGACGUUAGCGGCGGACGGGUGAGUAACACGUGGAUAACCUACCUAUAAGACUGGGAUAACUUCGGGAAACCGGAGCUAAUACCGGAUAAUAUAUUGAACCGCAUGGUUCAAUAGUGAAAGACGGUUUUGCUGUCACUUAUAGAUGGAUCCGCGCCGCAUUAGCUAGUUGGUAAGGUAACGGCUUACCAAGGCAACGAUGCGUAGCCGACCUGAGAGGGUGAUCGGCCACACGGGAACUGAGACACGGUCCAGACUCCUACGGGAGGCAACAGUAGGGAAUCUUCCGCAAAGGGCGAAAGCCUGACGGAGCAACGCCGCGUGAGUGAUGAAGGUCUUCGGAUCGUAAAACUCUGUUAUUAGGGAAGAACAAAUGUGUAAGUAACUAUGCACGUCUUGACGGUACCUAAUCAGAAAGCCACGGCUAACUACGUG